GCGCCUGUAGCUCAGUGGAUAGAGCAUUCGGCUCCGAACCGAAAGGUCGCAGGUUCGAUUCCUGUCAGGCGCACCA
rnacentral:tRNA from 1 species